rnacentral:rRNA from 1 species
UACAGAGGGUGCAAGCGUUAAUCGGAAUUACUGGGCGUAAAGCGCACGUAGGUGGUUUUAUAAGUCGGAUGUGAAAGCCCCGGGCUUAACCUGGGAAUUGCAUCUGAUACUGUCUGACUAGAGUAUGCUAGAGGGAAGUGGAAUUCCAGGUGUAGCGGUGAAAUGCGUAGAUAUCUGGAGGAACACCAAUGGCGAAGGCAACUUCCUGGGGCAAUACUGACACUGAUGUGCGAAAGCGUGGGGAGCAAACAGG